GGGAACCUCACCCGGCCCGGACACCGCGAGGAUUGACAGACUGAGAGCUCUUUCUCGAUUCGGUGGGUGGUGGUGCAUGGCCGUUCUUAGUUGGUGGAGCGAUCUGUCUGGUUAAUUCCGAUAACGAACGAGACCCCAACCUGCUAACUAGCCCUCGGGUCCUGCUUCUGUUGGGCCCGACGGAAUGAUUCGCUUCUUAGAGGGACUGGCGACCCCUAGUCGCACAAGAUUGAGCAAUAA
rnacentral:rRNA from 1 species